AGCCCGACUUGGGGUAUGAACUCAUGAACUGUGAGAUCAUGACCUGAGCCGAAGUCCCAUGCUUCACCAACUGAGCCACUCAGGUGCCCCUCUCUUCGCUUGAAGUCCCCAGUGUCAGUAUCUUUUCUCCUUCCCAUGUGGCAAAAAAAGUUGACUGGAGAAGGUGGGCCUUUCUCUAAAUAAUCCGGGGUAACAAGAAGGGAUUUUUGGAGUAGUCACGACAGGAGCUCUGUGCUCUUAGAGAAAGACUCUAAAGGCAUUACUUGAUUCAAAAGGCAAGACAGCAGUUGGUCUACCAACUGAUUUGUAGCUUGAGCACCUGCACAGAGAAGGUUCUCACCCCCCAGGCCACCUCCUGUGCACACACUUGUAAGCACGCACACCUGUGCCCUUUCCCCAGGCAGCAGUCAGAGGAGCCAGUCCCCCACCGGGAUGGGUUCCUCAUACAAGUCCCCACUAUCAUGAAGAAGCAGGGUGGGAGUACGGGAAUAAAAAGGGGGUCAAGGAUAAUCUGAUUAGUUCUUUCUUCUCUUUCCCACAGAAAGCCCAUCAGCGGGAAACCCGUUUGGAUCCGGGCACCUGCUGGCAUCUGUGUGUGCUCUUUUACACCACCUGCUUUCCAGAACUGUGCUUCUAGCUUGUCAGAAGUCAGGGGUGGUAAUCUCCAGAAUAAAAGGAGAAAUGGAAAAGUGGAACCAGUGAGAGGCCUUCAUGGCAAACCCAAAUGUAAAUUAAACUGCCCCCCACCCCAAAGCUCAUGAAAAGUUAUGCCCCUGGCUUUCCAUUUCUUUAUUUUGCACUUUUAAAGCUCCCUCCAUCCUGAACAGUCUUGUGGAAAGUAUUUGAUUCCAGAGCCUGAAGUGUUUGUCUAUUUUUCAGAAAAGAAAAUCUGAAAUUCCAGAGGUUGGCCACUGGAAAUGUUAAGCUAUAAUAUUAAUCAUAAUUCAACAGAGUCCUUUCUGCUUCCGGAAAGGGCUGAAAUAAAGAUGUGACCAUUGUACCACCGUGUUCAACAGUGCGUGAGAUGCCGCACGGAAGGUAACAUGCUCUGUCUACAGAACGUCCUCUCAGAUUGCGAUCUAAGAAAAUUAAAAAGGUAUACACCGUA